rnacentral:rRNA from 1 species
AUUGAACGCUGGCGGCAUGCCUUACACAUGCAAGUCGAACGGUAACAGGUCUUCGGAUGCUGACGAGUGGCGAACGGGUGAGUAAUGCAUCGGAACGUGCCCAGUAGUGGGGGAUAGCCCGGCGAAAGCCGGAUUAAUACCGCAUACGACCUGAGGGGGAAAGGGGGGGAUCGCAAGACCUCUCGCUAUUGGAGCGGCCGAUGUCAGAUUAGCUAGUUGGUGGGGUAGAGGCCUACCAAGGCAACGAUCUGUAGUUGGUCUGAGAGGACGACCAGCCACACUGGGACUGAGACACGGCCCAGACUCCUACGGGAGGCAGCAGUGGGGAAUUUUGGACAAUGGGCGCAAGCCUGAUCCAGCAAUGCCGCGUGCAGGAAGAAGGCCUUCGGGUUGUAAACUGCUUUUGUCAGGGAAGAAAUCUUCUGGGUUAAUACCUCGGGAGGAUGACGGUACCUGAAGAAUAAGCACCGGCUAACUACGUGCCAGCCGCCGCGGUAAAAC